rnacentral:piRNA from 1 species
UGGCGAAAACCCGUGCUUGGC